CGGAGGGAUUGACUGCACUGGAUAUUCUUUGUCUGUUCAUCUAGAUCCACUUUCUGCUCUUAUCAACUCUGCAUGACACGCAGGCCUAGGAGGGAUCCUGGCUUCCCCCUGUUCGUAUCCCUGAGAUGCUUCCUCAACUACUGGCCUUACUUGAACCUGCCUUCGCUUGGCUUCUGCCACGCUACUAUUGUUACCAGCGUGAAUGGGAACAUUCUUAACAGGAGAAUGUGAGUGAAGACCUGCUCACAUGAUGGAAGGACGAUGUAUGAUCUCCGGCGAAUACGCAAGUUACAAG